UUCUAGAAUGUGGCUGUUUUCUGGAGUCUGCCUGCUCCAGGAGAUGACUGGGACCACCAAGUGGCCAGCUUGAUAAUGGCAAAGGAUAAGGAUGCAUUUGUCUCCUGAAGACAAUUGAGAAGGUUCCAUUGGCUCCUGCCUUUAAAAGUGAAUCUUUCUUGUGGUGACUUCUGAAUUGAAGUGCAAUUUCAAGUGCCAACUAGUAGCUGGUCUUGUUUACUGCAACCAUAGAUUUACACGAUGCGUUGCAAUCUGGGAUGUGUGCCGACCCAGCAUGGUGGUAGGAGAAACAGCAGUGAAACUUACUUCCUGCCGUUAGUCCCCUGUGUGUCUGUGGACCAGUCUGGCUCCGCAACUGACCCGUAGACCUCAAAAGGCCCAGGAGUCCAUAGCAGUGAGCAGGACGAAUUUACUGGUUUUAAUGUGCUUUUCUCCUGAGCAGGAUUUUAAGGACUAGUCUUUCAAAGAAGAAUACUAGGGGUUAACUCAAUAGGCACUACUGGAGUUUAAAUAAGGGCACUGCUUCACAUACAUGCAUUUCUCAUCCUGGAGGAUCCCAAAGCAAUACGGCCCAAUAUGGUACUUGGGCAUCAAACACCAUGUCAACAGGGAAAGGCAAGUUCGUGGAUGUCCUGG